GACGAACGCUGGCGGCGUGCCUAAUACAUGCAAGUUGAGCGCUGAAGGUUGGUACUUGUACCAACUGGAUGAGCAGCGAACGGGUGAGUAACGCGUGGGGAAUCUGCCUUUGAGCGGGGGACAACAUUUGGAAACGAAUGCUAAUACCGCAUAAAAACUUUAAACACAAGUUUUAAGUUUGAAAGAUGCAAUUGCAUCACUCAAAGAUGAUCCCGCGUUGUAUUAGCUAGUUGGUGAGGUAAAGGCUCACCAAGGCGAUGAUACAUAGCCGACCUGAGAGGGUGAUCGGCCACAUUGGGACUGGGACACGGCCCAAACUCCUACGGGAGGCAGCAGGAGGGAAACUUCGGCAAUGGACGAAAGUCUGACCGAGCAACGCCGCGUGAGUGAAGAAGGUUUUCGGAUCGUAAAACUCUGUUGGUAGAGAAGAACGUUGGUGAGAGUGGAAAGCUCAUCAAGUGACGGUAACUACCCAGAAAGGGACGGCUAACUACGUG
rnacentral:rRNA from 1 species